UGAAGAACUGCCAUGCCAGGGAAUUUCUUGGAGCUGGCUUUGGUGUGCUCGGUCCCUGGGUGCGGUGGGCAGUAGCAGGCGUACUGUCUAGGGUAUGGCCGUUCCGCUUUUGCACCCUGCUGUAGGAGGAGGAGGUGGAGUAGGAGGUUGAGGAGGCGUGACUGUGGCAGCAGCGACGCAUUCGGAUGUCUGCCCUAUCAGCUUUCGAUGUUACUAUCUGCGCCUUCCAUGGUGACCACGGGUAAUGGGGAAUCAGGGUUUGAUGCCGGAGAGAAACAGUUACCACAUCCAAGGAAAGCAGCAGGUGCGCAAAUAACUCACUCCCGAUGCAGGGAAGUAGUGACG